ensembl:ncRNA F28E10.7 ncRNA
UCUCCAAUUUCAUAUUCUCACACUUUUUUCGGAGAUGCUUCUAGCUUCUCGGAGGGUCCCUUUUCCCAGCUUUUCUCCGCUUUUUUCCAUUCAUA